GUGCUCACUUUGGCAGCACAUAAACUAAAACUGGAAGCAUAUAGAGAAGAUUGACAUGGCCCCUGCACACGGUGACAUGCAAAUUCUGAAGUGUUCCAUAUUUUU
ensembl:snRNA U6 U6 spliceosomal RNA